UUCGAGCGUCAUUUCAACCCAUCAAGCUUCGGCUUGGUCUUGGGGCCUGCGGUUUCGCAGCCUCUAAACCCAGUGGCGGUGCUAUUGAGCUCUGAGCGUAGUAAUUCUUCUCGCUAUAGGGUCUCGGUGGUUGCUUGCCAAUAACCCCCAAUUUUUAUCAGGUUGACCUCGGAUCAGGUAGGGAUACCCGCUGAACUUAA
rnacentral:misc_RNA from 1 species